CCAAUACUCCAUCUCUGCCGCCGAAAAUACAUUCCCUCCCCUCUCUAUCUGGCCAACGAUCGAACAUCAUAGCUGCAUACAGGCUACUAAACCGCAAAGGCCACAAUUCAUGGCGUCAUUUUAUUAAAACCGCAGAGAAGCGUUCACACUCUACCCCCGCUAGGUCAGUUCCCUCUAAUCGAAAAAAUGUUCGGCGCUCAAGCUUCAACUCCGGCCUUUGGAAAUCCAUCCUCUACGCCUGCAUUUGGUGCCCCAGCCUUUGGCACACCCUCUUCAACUCCGGCAUUCGGUACUUGGUCUUCGACUCCGGCCUUCGGAACUCCAUCGACGCCAUCUUUCGCCACUGGUUUCGGGUCCUCUCUCUUCUCUACACCGUUCUCGUCUCAAACGCAAUAUCAACAGCAGCAGCAACAACAGACUCCUCUUUUUCAGCAGCCGUCUACUGGUUUAGGAUUUCGGACUCCGUUCGCCGCUACUCAGGCAACGCCGUUCCCUAAUGCUCAACUGACUACACAGAUGGCCCCCGUGGCUCCGCUUCCUUUCUCGCUAGCUGAUCGUGAUAUUCAGGCGAUUGUGGAUGCUUACAACGAGGAGCCAGGGAACCCUAAAUAUGCGUUCAAGUAUUUGUUGUUUAGUGUAACUGAUCCACAGCAUAGAGUGAAGCCUGUUGGUGUAUCAGAUAUCAUGUGGGCAGAGGCUAUGGCAAAGCUAGAGGGCAUGGAAAGUUCGGAUCGAGAACGAUUGUGGCCUCAGCUUAUUCAAGGUUUCAAAGAUCUUUCUCACCGGCUUAAGCUCCAAGAUGAAGUUAUUGUUUCUGAUACUGAGCGAUUGCGAAUGACCCAAAGCAAUGU
rnacentral:misc_RNA from 1 species